UUGUCUCGAGGUUGGAUACGUGUCAUGUGCGUCAGUGCCAUCAUGCUGAUAUUCGGGAUUCCAGUAACACAAAAAACGGAACAUCCAGAGGAUUCAUCUUCGUGUUUUAUAAAUUACCUUCCUCAUCCAGUUAUAGGUUGCUUUUUCAAAAUAUUGAGUUGAGAGCUGAGCGUCAGCAAGGAUCCUUCAAUCACCAAUGAUGUAAAUGCGUACUGGAUAUACAUUUCAACAAUGCCGUUGUGUUAGCUAAUAAACAAGUACAAUAGAUGCUUAGUUUCAGAACAUUUCCCUGUAUAAUGAUUGCUCUGCGGAAUAUUUACUAUUUUCUAUUUACCUAAACCAAGGUAAAAUACUGUACAUAAAACACGAACGACCAAUACCUUUAAAUAAUUUCAUGAAUGCCAGGCUCCCGGUCGUAGCACAUGCUUCCAAAGAAGAGCUUAAAGUUUAGAUUUCAACAUAUUUGAGUGCGCGCAUGAUAACAUACAUUUGCAGUGAUGGCAUCGCCGUCAAACAUCCUUGGUGUUCUUGUGAUGCUAGCGUUAAGGAUAGGAGAUAUCGUAGAAACUACCCCUGCUAAUGCUCUUCUGGACUACAAACUUAAUGGAUCAGACACUGACAUACGCCUUAGAGGAAACGUAUCAUACGUCGAAUCUGCAGUUUUUGGAAAAGUUCUUCAGUUAAAUGAUAAGAACGGUUUCGCC